ensembl:lncRNA
CUCAAACUCUGAGCUCUUGAAUCAAAAUUAUAUGGUCUGGUAAGGAGAUGUCCAGUGUGUUAUCUAAAGAUGUUAAUUUAUAGUUUGUAAUGGACCAAAGGGCAGAUGAACAGUGUUCAUAUGUUCCGUGCACAUCCCAACCAGCAGGUGGCGCUGAUUAUUAACAAGCUAAAGCAGAAUGAACGCAGAUAAAACGACAGACGAGAAAUAUACUUGUUAUGGAUGUGGAAAUAAGAGAUGGCUAGACCCUUCAGUCACAAUUUAUCAACGCACAAUGUCUAAACUGCAGAUUUUAAGUGUUUUUCUGACAGAGAGAUUAACAUUAGCUGCGCAGGAAAUAUUUAAGGCUGUGGAAGACAUAUUUUCAGAGUAUAAUGAGGAGAUUUGUCGCUCCAGACAGGAGAUUGAGCUGCUCAAGAGGAGACUGCAGCAGGCAGGAGUUCAGCUGGACUCUGUGAAGCAGCUUUGCUCCACUGAGACUCAAGGACAGAAAUACACCCAGACAUUUUCAGAGGAAUGGAGAUCUGAACACGACUUGAAGGAUAAAGCAAUGCAUAUGAUCCUAGAUAUUUGUACAAAGGAGGAGGAGAAUGAAGAGGACAUGCCUGUGUGCGGUGAAUCAGCAUCUUUAUCACCAUGUAUGGACAUUUAUCAUGAUCAGACGCCCAGCAAAGACACUGAAACCCAAGUGAUGGACAGUUGUAGUGAGAAUCAUUUUCACUUUAUUGACCAAGCGGCUCGAAUUAAGAAUGAGCCUGAGACUAAUACUGAAACAGGUACCACCUGUCAAAUACAGCAGAACAUCACAAAACAAGAUUUGGAUGAUUCAGGGGCCAGUGAUGCUUCCAGUGACGUCAACAAAGUCAAAGUUAGCCACGGUGGCUCCCCCAGACAUGAGACACAAACAUUUAUUCUGCCCCUCAGAAAUCAAGAGAUGUUGACGCAGCAUCGGACGGAGCUGGCCCAGAUAAGAGAGAGAAUGUCUUUGAAAAUCCAGCCCUGUGACUCUGAGUGUAAAAGUAAGAAAAGUCAACCGUCUGUCUGUCAGGAUGAAGUGUCAAAAUCUGACAAGCAGAAACCCGACAAUGCAAGAUACAGUCAGGCCUGGAGGGAUCGUCUGAAAAAAGACCCUGUAAAAUUUGCUGAGUUCAAAGCUUUUGAAGCUGCAAGAGCAAGAGAGUAUAGAAGAAAGAGGACCGCUACUGCUGUAGAAAUUGAUAAGGAUAAUAAUCGUGAGCGACAGAGAAGAUUCAGAACCAAAAAGAAGUUACAGCAUAAGUGUAAAGCUGAUGAUAACCCUCUGCCACCUAAAAAAACAAAAGUCUUAACAGAAGAAGAGAGGAUGAAGAAACGAGAGUAUGAUAGGAUGAAGAAACGAGAGGAGAGAGAGAGGAUGGGAGCAGAGAAGAAAAGACAAAUUCGUGAAAGAGAUGCAUCGCGAAAGAGGGAAAAAAGAAAGAAGACAAAAAAUCUUACUGACACUCCACAUACAAAUUUUGGCACUAAAUCGUACAGCUGGAACUAA